GACGAACGCUGGCGGCGUGCCUAAUACAUGCAAGUUGAGCGCUGAAGGUUGGUACUUGUACCAACUGGAUGAGCAGCGAACGGGUGAGUAACGCGUGGGGAAUCUGCCUUUGAGCGGGGGACAACAUUUGGAAACGAAUGCUAAUACCGCAUAAAAACUUUAAACACAAGUUUUAAGUUUGAAAGAUGCAAUUGCAUCACUCAAAGAUGAUCCCGCGUUGUAUUAGCUAGUUGGUGAGGUAAAGGCCCACCAAGGCGAUGAUACAUAGCCGACCUGGGGGGGUGAUCGGCCACAUUGGGACUGGGACACGGCCCAAGCUCCUACGGGAGGCAGCAGUAGGGGAACUUCGGCAAUGGACGAAAGGCUGACCGAGCAACGCCGCGUGAGUGAAGAAGGGUUUCGGAUCGUAAAACUCUGUUGGUAGAGAAGAACGUUGGUGAGAGUGGAAAGCUCAUCAAGUGACGGUAACUACCCAGAAAGGGACGGCUAACUACGUG
rnacentral:rRNA from 1 species